GACGAACGCUGGCGGCGUGCCUAAUACAUGCAAGUCGAGCGAGCUUGCCUAGAUGAAUUUGGUGCUUGCACCAAAUGAAACUAGAUACAAGCGAGCGGCGGACGGGUGAGUAACACGUGGGUAACCUGCCCAAGAGACUGGGAUAACACCUGGAAACAGAUGCUAAUACCGGAUAACAACACUAGACGCAUGUCUAGAGUUUAAAAGAUGGUUCUGCUAACACUCUUGGAUGGACCUGCGGUGCAUUAGCUAGUUGGUAAGGUAACGGCUUACCAAGGCAAUGAUGCAUAGCCGAGUUGAGAGACUGAUCGGCCACAUUGGGACUGAGACACGGCCCAAACUCCUACGGGAGGCAGCAGUAGGGAAUCUUCCACAAUGGACGCAAGUCUGAUGGAGCAACGCCGCGUGAGUGAAGAAGGGUUUCGGCUCGUAAAGCUCUGUUGGUAGUGAAGAAAGAUAGAGGUAGUAACUGGCCUUUAUU
rnacentral:rRNA from 1 species